CCUAAGAAUGUCGAACAUUUUUUCACUUAUUUCUUGGCUAUGUGUAUUAUUAUUUAAAUAGGAAGACUGCAUCAUGAUAAACAUAAUGCUCUUAGAGCCCCUCCUGGAACUUUUCUCCAAGAAUUUACUAGCCAUGUCCUUUUAUUGAAGUUAGCUGCAUACCUAUCAAUCUUACCUACUAGUUUAAAAACAUCCCAGCUAGAUUUUUACACUUCUCUCCAGUGCCUUGCAUUGAGUGGAUUCUCAAGAAAUAUUUGAUGAAAGAAGAAGAAAACCAGAUGCAGAUAUAAAGGGCUACAUGUACAAAGGUUUAACAAAAUCUUUUCCCUCUCUUGAGAGGGAAAUGAGAAUUUGACCUUUAGUUUAGUUUCUAGGUCUGUUCCCCUGAUAACCUGAUAUAUGGUAUAUGAAUAGUAUCACCAUACAAUAUUGACUAUGAUUGACAAUUGCUUAAGGACUGGUAGAACUGGAAAUACCUGAUAUAGUGCUUUGGGCUUUCCUAAGUGUGGUACCUGUAGGUAUAGUCUGUUGUGCGGACUUUGGAAACUGCCUAUCAAGUUGUGAUGAGAGACUGGUUUCUGUGCAGCAUGAAUCUUUUAAGCCAGGGAUACCCCUGAAUCUUCCCACUGGGCUCUUGUCUCCUUGCACCCAGGCUGCACAGUUGGGCCUUACUGCUGGUGUGUACUGCUGCAAAAACUCCUAAACACAAGGAACCUCAUGUUGCCCUCUUGGAAGCUAUGUACCUGUCCUAUAUCAUUCUGUGCUGAUGGUGGCCAAGUGUGGUCUAUAAUAGUCAUAUCAUUCUGGGGAUAUAGCUCAAUGGUGUGCUUGCCUAGCAUGCACAAGGUCCUGAGUUCAAUCCCCUACAUCAGGAAAAUAAACAAAAGUCAUUGAACUUAAGAAAUCCUAUCUUUCCACUCCACCCAGUAAGCAAUGUAUUAUUACUCAAAUAUAAUUUGGAGGAAGAGAAAGAAUAUAAGCUAGGGAAAGAAGAGAAACAGGCCAACAAAACAACUUUAGUUUCCCCAGCUCAGAUAAAUUUAUCAAGUGAUAAAUGCUGAGUUAUUUCCUUCUCUUUGUUUUCCUUAGUGCCAUAAAAAAUUACAUUUAAAAAUAUUCCAUUUUCCAAAAUGAAAACCUAAAAUUGUCAGGCUAGUUAGACUACUGAAAUAAAAAGUUAGUUCAAGUUCUGAAUUAGAAAUAGCAAAAAUAGUUUCCUUUACAUGCCAACUCUGAUCAGUUGAUAGUGACUACACAGCAUGUUGUGAGUACAUCUUAGGCUGUGAUAAGUUUAGAGAGAAAGAGGGCCAUGACCAUCAAUAUUAUUUGCUCCAGGAUUAGGACCGGUCAUUGACAACAUGAAUCCCAGGGCUAUUUUUGGUCUAAAAGAAUAUACUAUGUGUAAUGUAUCUUUAAACAAUUAAUUAUGAAAGAUUUGAAGUGGAGACGCUAUACAGAAUAAUAUAUAAGCACCUGUGUAUCCUCUAUUCAGUUUCAUAAACCAAAUACUUCCAAUAUGGUUGAAGCCAUAUUGCACGAUACUAGUAUGUUUUUGUAUGUUUUUCUACUAUAUAUAAUGGUAACACAAUGUAAAAAUAUUCUGCUUCCUGCUUGUUAUGUUUCACAUUAUAUGUGAGAUUCAUUCAUGCUGAUGUGCGUAGCUCUAAUUGAUUCAUCUUCAUUGUUGCUAAGAUUAAUUUAAAAUGGACUCAGGUUGGCAGUGCCAUGGUAGAAGCACAGGAUAAUUCUAACCUGAUAGGACCUAAUUAUGUUAAAUGUUAACUAUGCCCUCUGAAAUGACACACCCUCAACUACAUUUCAGAGAUUAAAACUCAAAAAUGUCCAAACAAAAACAAUAAACAGCAGAAUCAGACCCUCAGAAGUUCAAAUAUUGUACAUAUGAAUUUUUUAAAUUAAAAUGAAUAAUUAAAAUAUGAACACAUUAAAGUAGAAAAUAAGAGAAAAUGAUUCUCUGAUAAGCAAGAAAAAACAGGCAGAGUGAAAUGUGGGAAGCUGGUGUUGGUAAUGGUAUGGUUGAGAAUGUUUAUAAACACAAUAAGUAUAUUUAAAAUAUAAUCACAUUUAAAAUUAAUAAAAAUAAACCAGGGAAGUCAACCAUCUUACCUCUGAAAAAUCAUUUCU
rnacentral:lncRNA from 1 species